rnacentral:rRNA from 1 species
CAAGUCGAACGGCAGCACGGGGGCAACCCUGGUGGCGAGUGGCGAACGGGUGAGUAAUACAUCGGAACGUGUCCUGUAGUGGGGGAUAGCCCGGCGAAAGCCGGAUUAAUACCGCAUACGAUCUGUGGAUGAAAGCGGGGGAUCCUUCGGGACCUCGCGCUACAGGGGCGGCCGAUGGCAGAUUAGCUAGUUGGUGGGGUAAAGGCCUACCAAGGCGACGAUCUGUAGCUGGUCUGAGAGGACGACCAGCCACACUGGGACUGAGACACGGCCCAGACUCCUACGGAAGGCAGCAGUGGGGAAUUUUGGACAAUGGGCGAAAGCCUGAUCCAGCAAUGCCGCGUGUGUGAAGAAGGCCUUCGGGUUGUAAAGCACUUUUGUCCGGAAAGAAAACCUCGUGGUUAAUACCCGUGGGGGAUGACGGUACCGGAAGAAUAAGCACCGGCUAACUACAUGCCAGCAGCCGCGGU